AAGCGCACGCAGGCGGUUUGUUAAGUCAGAUGUGAAGUCCCCGGGCUCAACCUGGGAACUGCAUCUGAUACUGGCAAGCUUGAGUCUCGUAGAGGGGGGUAGAAUUCCAGGUGUAGCGGUGAAAUGCGUAGAGAUCUGGAGGAAUACCGGUGGCGAAGGCGGCCCCCUGGACGAAGACUGACGCUCAGGUGCGAAAGCGUGGGGAGCGAACAGGAUUAGAUACCCUGGUAGUCCACGCCGUAAACGAUGUCGACUUGGAGGUUGUGCCCUUGAGGCGUGGCUUCCGGAGCUAACGCGUUAAGUCGACCGCCUGGGGAGUACGGCCGCAAGGUUAAAACUCAAAUGAAUUGACGGGGGCCCGCACAAGCGGUGGAGCAUGUGGUUUAAUUCGAUGCAACGCGAAGAACCUUACCUGGUCUUGACAUCCACGGAAGUUUUCAGAGAUGAGAAUGUGCCUUCGGGAACCGUGAGACAGGUGCUGCAUGGCUGUCGUCAGCUCGUGUUGUGAAAUGUUGGGUUAAGUCCCGCAACGAGCGCAACCCUUAUCCUUUGUUGCCAGCGGUCCGGCCGGGAACUCAAAGGAGACUGCCAGUGAUAAACUGGAGGAAGGUGGGGAUGACGUCAAGUCAUCAUGGCCCUUACGACCAGGGCUACACACGUGCUACAAUGGCGCAUACAAAGAGAAGCGACCUCGCGAGAGCAAGCGGACCUCAUAAAGUGCGUCGUAGUCCGGAUUGGAGUCUGCAACUCGACUCCAUGAAGUCGGAAUCGCUAG
rnacentral:rRNA from 1 species